AAUGAACGUUGGUGGCGUGGAUUAGGCAUGCAAGUCGUGCGAGAAGGCCCCGCAAGGGGCCGGACAGCGGCGAACGGGGUAGUAAGGCGUCGGUACGUGCCCUGGGGUCCGGGAUAGCGGCGGGAAACCGCCGGUAAUACCGGAUGACCUCUCCGGAGCAAAGGUGUGAUUCCGCCCUUGGAGCGGCCGACGUGAUACCAGCUAGAUGGCGGGGUAACGGCCCACCAUGGCUAAGACGUCUAGGGGGUGUGAGAGCAUGGCCCCCACCACUGGGACUGAGACACGGCCCAGACACCUACGGGUGGCUGCAGUCGAGAAUCUUCGGCAAUGGGCGCAAGCCUGACCGAGCGACGCCACGUGCGGGAUGACGGCCCUCGGGUUGUAAACCGCUGUCGGGGGGGAUGAAGUCACGCGGGGCAAUCCCCGCGUGUUGACAGAGCCCCGGAGGAAGCGCGGGCUAAGUACGUGCCAGCCGCCGCCGUAACAC
rnacentral:rRNA from 1 species